rnacentral:lncRNA from 1 species
GGCUCUUAUUUUACUUGUUUGUAUGCUUAAAGAAAUAAAUUAUCAGUAUGAAAUACAGAUUCUCCUCUGGGGUUUCAUUGGGGUUAUGCUUUGUUAACCUUAUCAAAGAACAGAAAAAGUAUUUCUAUCAAUACAUGUAGUCUAUGACAAGUUUGGUAUGAACUCUAGUGUUAUAAGACAGAAAUGCCCAUAAUUUAUGGAUUGUUCAUUACUAAUGUGUUUGAUAGGAGUUUGGGUUGAAUGUAAUGUUUCUCUCCUCACAUCUCGAUUUCAUUUUUUCUGUAAGAAGGGAAAAAUGGAGAGAGGAAUUUGGGGGAGUGGGAGACAUAUCAAAAGGGGAGAUAUGUUAUCGUAUCGAAUAGUCCAACCCUUGGACUCUUUUCCCCAAUACUGUUCAAUCAUGUUACAACAAUAUGCACAGGCAUCAGAUGAUAACACAUAGUCUAAAUAAUGUUCUCUUAAAUUAAAAAGAAAACAUCUCGUUUUUGCUGACAGAGGUGGAAGGUCAAGUCAUCGGAGCUGAUAUAAAUACUCACAUGGGAAUUAUUAGACGGGCAGUCAAAAACAGAAGGAUAGACAGUCAAGGUGGUCAAAAGGAGAGCAUUAAAUGAUUAAGGAAAUUGAGUGAAUGCAUGGUAUAUAGGCUGAAAAACUUCAUCAUAGACUCCACAAUCUGUCUCUGCUGUUCCUUCUGCACUGUCCAGCUUUCCCACCCAUCCAUCUUCAAUCCUGUUCCUUUUGCUGAAGAAUUUCCAUGUAAAUGAUAAUACUAGCACUGAACUGUAUCAUUUUGCUCCAGAGAACCUGUAUCUGAGGACCUGAUUUGAUUUGGAACUGUUUGGGAUAAUCCUUGCUCCCAAGGUAUUUAAACUAAAAUGUCAGGUACCAUGUUGUAAAAUUGUAAUCAUUUUCUAAAAAAUUCUCUCUCUGUCUAUACAUCACCAAAAUCAAGCACUUUCUCAGUAAAACAUUUAUUAAACUUGCUAACGUUUUCAGCAACUUACAGUUGCCAUCUUGAGGCUUACAUCAAAAGAACAAUAGAAUAAAGAACACAAAUCACAUAAAAUUCAAAAUUCUG